AUUGAACGCUGGCGGCAUGCCUUACACAUGCAAGUCGAACGGCAGCACGGGGGCAACCCUGGUGGCGAGUGGCGAACGGGUGAGUAAUGCAUCGGAACGUGCCCUGAAGUGGGGGAUAACGUAGCGAAAGUUACGCUAAUACCGCAUAUUCUGUGAGCAGGAAAGCAGGGGAUCGCAAGACCUUGCGCUUUAGGAGCGGCCGAUGGCGGAUUAGCUAGUUGGUGGGGUAAAAGCUCACCAAGGCGACGAUCCGUAGCGGGUCUGAGAGGAUGAUCCGCCACACUGGGACUGAGACACGGCCCAGACUCCUACGGGAGGCAGCAGUGGGGAAUUUUGGACAAUGGGCGCAAGCCUGAUCCAGCCAUGCCGCGUGAGUGAAGAAGGUCUUCGGGUUGUAAAGCUCUUUCGGCGGGGAAGAAAUUGCACUCUCUAAUACAGGGUGUAGAUGACGGUACCCGCAUAAGAAGCACCGGCUAACUACGUGCCAGCCGCCGCGGUAA
rnacentral:rRNA from 1 species